rnacentral:lncRNA from 1 species
GGAACAAGAAAAACAAGGGCUCACCCUUGUUCUCACCAAAUUCACCAAAUUGACAAGGGAAAAUCGAUGAUUAUCAAUUGCAUGUGGUAGAAUUUCGAUCAGUUACCCAUAUCCAAUCAAGUGGCGUGAAGGAAGAAGGCUCAAGUGCUAAGAAAACGGAAGGUUCACAAGAUCGAGGUAAAUCCUCGACUUAGGCAAUUGGACGACUUGGAACGUGCACACAUGGUUUACGCCCGCUUCUCGCUUCCGUUGUUAAGCCCUUUUUUGAACGGUCUAGGGUAA